rnacentral:rRNA from 1 species
UACGUAGGGUGCGAGCGUUGCCCGGAUUUAUUGGGCGUAAAGGGCGCGCAGGCGGUACGGCACGUCCGUUGUGAAAUCGCUCGGCUCAACUGGGCGGGGUCAGCGGAUACGGCCGCACUUGAGCAAGGCUAGGGGGCAAUGGGAAUUCCCGGUGUAGUGGUGGAAUGCGUAGAUAUCGGGAGGAACACCAGUGGCGAAGGCGGUUGCCUGGAGCUUUGCUGACGCUGAGGCGCGAAAGCGUGGGGAGCGAGUCCGGAUUGAGAU